UGGAGACAGGGUAUGACUGAUGCUG
rnacentral:piRNA from 1 species